UCCCUGGUGGCUCAGAGGUUAAAACGUCUGCCUCCAAUGCGGAAAACCCGGGUUCGAUCCCUGGGUUGGGAA
rfam:Ovis aries breed Texel chromosome 4, whole genome shotgun sequence.